rnacentral:tRNA from 1 species
AGCAGAGUGGCCUAAUGGAAAGACCACGGGCCUGGGAGUCAGAAGGACCUGGGUUCUAAUCCCAGCUCUGCCA